rnacentral:rRNA from 1 species
GACGCGUAAUUCCCGCUCGCAAUCGCGUAUAAUAAAGUUGUUGUGGUUAAAAAGCUCGUAGUUGAACCUUGGGCCUGGCUGGCCGGUCCGCCUCACCGCGUGUACUGGUCCGGCCGGGCCUUUCCCUCUGUGGAACCCCAUGCCCUUCACUGGGUGUGGCGGGGAAACAGGACUUUUACUGUGAAAAAAUUAGAGUGCUCCAGGCAGGCCUAUGCUCGAAUACAUUAGCAUGGAAUAAUAGAAUAGGACGUGUGGUUCUAUUUUGUUGGUUUCUAGGACCGCCGUAAUGAUUAAUAGGGACAGUCGGGGGCAUCAGUAUUCAAUUGUCAGAGGUGAAAUUCUUGGAUUUAUUGAAGACUAACUACUGCGAAAGCAUUUGCCAAGGAUGUUUUCAUUAAUCAGGAACGAAAGUUAGGGGAUCGAAGACGAUCAGAUACCGUCGUAGUCUUAACCAUAAACUAUGCCGACUAGGGAUCGGACGGUGUUAUUUUUUGACCCGUUCGGCACCUUACGAGAAAUCAAAGUGCUUGGGCUCCAGGGGGAGUAUGGUCGCAAGGCUGAAACUUAAAGAAAUUGACGGAAGGGCACCACCAGGGGUGGAGCCUGCGGCUUAAUUUGACUCAACACGGGGAAACUCACCAGGUCCAGACACAAUGAGGAUUGACAGAUUGAGAGCUCUUUCUUGAUUUUGUGGGUGGUGGUGCAUGGCCGUUCUUAGUUGGUGGAGUGAUUUGUCUGCUUAAUUGCGAUAACGAACGAGACCUUAACCUGCUAAAUAGCCCGUAUUGCUUUGGCAGUACGCUGGCUUCUUAGAGGGACUAUCGGCUCGCGCCGAUGGAAGUUUGAGGCAAUAACACGUCAUAUG